rnacentral:rRNA from 1 species
UACGAAGGGGGCUAGCGUUGCUCGGAAUUACUGGGCGUAAAGCGCACGUAGGCGGAUUGUUAAGUCAGGGGUGAAAUCCUGGAGCUCAACUCCAGAACUGCCUUUGAUACUGGCGAUCUUGAGUCCGGGAGAGGUGAGUGGAACUGCGAGUGUAGAGGUGAAAUUCGUAGAUAUUCGCAAGAACACCAGUGGCGAAGGCGGCUCACUGGCCCGGUACUGACGCUGAGGUGCGAAAGCGUGGGGAGCAAACAGGG